UGAAACAAGAGCUACUUCUGCUUCAUGGUC
rnacentral:piRNA from 1 species